GUAGGUGGCAAGCGUUGUCCGGGAAUUAUUGGGGCGUAAAGCGCGCGCAGGCGGUUCUUUAAGUCUGAUGUGAAAGCCCACGGGCCCAACCGUGGAGGGUCAUUGGAAACUGGAGAACUUGAGUACAGAAGAGGAAAGCGGAAUUCCACGUGUAGCGGUGAAAUGCGUAGAGAUGUGGAGGAACACCAGUGGCGAAGGCGGCUUUCUGGUCUGCAACUGACGCUGAGGCGCGAAAGCGUGGGGAGCAAACAGGAUUAGAUACCCUGGUAGUCCACGCCGUAAACGAUGAGUGCUAAGUGUUAGGGGGUUUCCGCCCCUUAGUGCUGCAGCUAACGCAUUAAGCACUCCGCCUGGGGAGUACGGCCGCAAAGGCUG
rnacentral:rRNA from 1 species